rnacentral:rRNA from 1 species
UGGCGGACGGGUGAGUAAUGUCUGGGAAACUGCCUGAUGGAGGGGGAUAACUACUGGAAACGGUAGCUAAUACCGCAUAACGUCGCAAGACCAAAGAGGGGGACCUUCGGGCCUCUUGCCAUCGGAUGUGCCCAGAUGGGAUUAGCUAGUAGGUGGGGUAACGGCUCACCUAGGCGACGAUCCCUAGCUGGUCUGAGAGGAUGACCAGCCACACGGGAACUGAGACACGGUCCAG